UACGUAGGGGGCAAGCGUUGUCCGGAAUUACUGGGCGUAAAGAGCUCGUAUGUGGUUUGUCGCGUUUUUCGUGAAAACUCACAGCUCAACUGUGGGCGUGCGGGCGAUACGGGCAGACUGGAGUACUGCAGGGGAGACUGGAAUUCCUGGUGUAGCGGUGGAAUGCGCAGAUAUCAGGAGGAACACCGGUGGCGAAGGCGGGUCUCUGGGCAGUAACUGACGCUGAGGAGCGAAAGCGUGGGGAGCGAACAGG
rnacentral:rRNA from 1 species